rnacentral:rRNA from 1 species
AGAGUUUGAUCCUGGCUCAGGACGAACGCUGGCGGCGUGCUUAACACAUGCAAGUCGAACGGAAAGGCCCUUCGGGGUACUCGAGUGGCGAACGGGUGAGUAACACGUGGGUGAUCUGCCCUGCACUUUGGGAUAAGCCUGGGAAACUGGGUCUAAUACCGAAUAGGACCACGCGCUUCAUGGUGUGUGGUGGAAAGCUUUUGCGGUGUGGGAUGGGCCCGCGGCCUAUCAGCUUGUUGGUGGGGUAAUGGCCUACCAAGGCGACGACGGGUAGCCGGCCUGAGAGGGUGACCGGCCACACUGGGACUGAGAUACGGCCCAGACUCCUACGGGAGGCAGCAGUGGGGAAUAUUGCACAAUGGGCGCAAGCCUGAUGCAGCGACGCCGCGUGAGGGAUGACGGCCUUCGGGUUGUAAACCUCUUUCAAUAGGGACGAAGCGCAAGUGACGGUACCUAUAGAAGAAGCACCGGCCAACUACGUGCCAGCAGCCGCGGUAAUACGUAGGGUGCGAGCGUUGUCCGGAAUUACUGGGCGUAAAGAGCUCGUAGGUGGUUUGUCGCGUUGUUCGUGAAAACUCACAGCUUAACUGUGGGCGUGCGGGCGAUACGGGCAGACUAGAGUACUGCAGGGGAGACUGGAAUUCCUGGUGUAGCGGUGGAAUGCGCAGAUAUCAGGAGGAACACCGGUGGCGAAGGCGGGUCUCUGGGCAGUAACUGACGCUGAGGAGCGAAAGCGUGGGGAGCGAACAGGAUUAGAUACCCUGGUAGUCCAA